GCUCGCGUGACUAGCUAGUCGGCGGGUAAUCGGCCCACCGAGGCCGACGAUCGUCUAGGGGUUCUGAUGAGGAACGGUCCCCCACACUGGAACUGAGACACGGUCCAAACUCAUACGGGAGGCAGCAGUGAGGAAUAUUGGUCAAUUGGGCGGAAGCCUGAACCAGCCAUGCCGCUGUGCAGGCUAAGUGUCCUAUGGAUUGUAAGAUCUGCUUUUGUCGCAUGGGCAAUAACGGUUCACGUGUGGACUGAUGAUGAUGUAUGCGACGAACUAAGCAUCGGCUAACUCCGUGACCACGCAGCCGCGGUAAUACGGAGGAUGCGAGCGUUAUCCGGAUUCAUUGGGUUUAAAGGGUGCGUAGGCGGCAGGCCAAGCCGGGGGUGAAAAGGUCGAGCUCAACUCGAUUCGUGCCUUCGGAACUGGUCAGCUAGAGUGCGCUUGCCGUGGGAGGAAUGAGUGGUGUAGCGGUGAAAUGCAUAGAUAUCACUCAGAACACCGAUUGCGAAGGCAUCUCACGAAGACGUUACUGACGCUGAGGCACGAAAGCGUGGGGAUCGAACAGGAUUAGAUACCCUGGUAGUCCACGCAGUAAACGAUGAUGGCUAACCGUCGGCGAUAGACAGUCGGCAGCCAAGCGAAAGCGAUAAGCCAUCCACCUGGGGAGUACGGCCGCAAGGCUGAAACUCAAAGGAAUUGACGGGGACCCGCACAAGCGGAGGAACAUGUGGUUUAAUUCGAUGAUACGCGAGGAACCUUUACCCGGGCUCGAACGGCAGACGAACGCGGCAGAGAUGCCAAGGUCCUUCGGGACGUCUGUCGAGGUGCUGCAUGGUUGUCGUCAGCUCGUGCCGUGAGGUGUCGGCUCAAGUGCCUUAACGAGCGCAACCCCUGCCUUCAGUUACCAGCACGUAGAGGUGGGGACUCUGGAGGGACUGCCACCGCAAGGUGAGAGGAGGGGGAGGAUGACGUCAAAUCAGCACGGCCCUUUACGUCCGGGGCGACACACGUGUUACAAUGGCGACUACAGAGGGAAGCCACCCGGUGACGGGGCGCGGAUCUCGAAAAGUCGUCUCAGUUCGGAUCGGAGUCUGCAACUCGACUCCGUGAAGCUGGAUUCGCUAGUAAUCGCGCAUCAGCCAUGGCGCGGUGAAUACGUUUCCCGGGCCUUGUACACACCGCCCGUCAAGCCAUGGAAGUCUGGGGCGCCCUGAAGUCCGUGACCGGAAGGAGCGGCCUAGGCGA
rnacentral:rRNA from 1 species